AAAAAGAAAAAAAAAAAAAAACUGAUAAAAUUGAUUAACUAAUGUCAAUGAUUUGGAUCAAGAAAAUGUGUCACUGUUUGGUUAAUGGAACCGUGCACACUCCUAGCUCUGCUUGUCUAAAUUUGUCUCCUUUUCUCUUUGGCAUGGUAGAUUGUAGCUUUAUUUCUUUACAGUGGAAUUUGAUUUAUUUACUAUUUUCAUGUUUGAGGCUAGAGUUUGUGCAACCCUAUUUCUGUUAAAGAUUGAGUAUUGGUUUCUGUCAGUAGAAAGCCCUAAUUCAGGGGUUUCCACCUCUUAACAGAAGAAGAAAUACAGAAUUAGGCAGAAAGAGAAAGAGAUACAGUAGAGAAGAGAGAAUUUAGAGAGAAGAAAAAGAUCAAUUUCCUUAUUAGAUUCAGAAUGAUCAUCUACA
rnacentral:misc_RNA from 1 species